AGCUUUUCAGACCCCCACGGGCAUGCCCUAUGGAACAGUGAACCUGCUUCAUGGUGUGAACCCUGGAGAGACCCCUGUCACCUGUACAGCAGGGAUUGGGACCUUUAUUGUGGAAUUUGCCACCCUGAGCAGCCUCACCGGUGACCCUGUGUUUGAAGAUGUGGCCAGAGUAGCCUUGACGCGCCUGUGGGAGAGCCGGUCAGAUAUUGGGCUGGUAAGUCAGCUGUUGCCCUUCUUGUAUAAGUCAAGGCUGCUACCUUGGCCCAUACUUAGGAAACACAGAGAUCUGAAGAAUGAGUUACUGUUCAGCCAAGGGAAUCGUACAGUGACUUUAGGAGUAGCCAGGAUACCAAAAGUAGACUGAACUCCCAUUCACAUUUUGGCACAGAAGGGAAGAAAGCCAGACAGCCCAUCCUUGACAGGACUUGUUAAGCUUUGAGCCUUUGAGCCCCUCUCACUUCUAGGAGUUCAUAUGCUUCACGACCUGGACUCAUUUAGUGAUUAUCAGAUUAUAUUUCUUAGAAUACAAGUACUGAGAGUGUUGAAUGGCUGGU